GCUGCGGUGGCCUAGCUGGUUAGGGCGCCAGACUCAUAGCAUCUGGAGAUCGUGGGUUCGGAUCCCACCCGCAGCA
rnacentral:tRNA from 1 species